GCCGGGAUAGUCUAGUGGUUAUGACGUCUGCCUCACACGCAGAUGCUGAGUUCAAUCCUCGUUCCUGGUA
rnacentral:tRNA from 1 species